UUUUGGAAUUUAAAAAGAUUUCUGGGACCUUCUAGGAAGAAUCUACAGGUUCUUUCUAGUGGGUGCAUUUGUAUCCCGAGAUUUUGUAUGGUAAUUGGUAAGAAUGGCGGAAGGUGGAGAAAAUCCACGAAAAGACGAUAACGACUCUGGAUCUGGUAGAAAGAUUAAGAGGCAAAAUGGUGAGACGACCGAUGAAGAGGACCAUGGAACACAAACACAACUUGUGGAAGCAAUUCAAUGCACUGAGAGGGGACAGGAAGUGACAGGUGGAACAUUUCCGUUCGCGGAUGCAGAUGGUCGUUAUAAUUUACUAGACACGAACAAAAAAAUAAAAAUACUUAUUGGGAACGCUAGCCAUUUAUGUACAUUGG